rnacentral:rRNA from 1 species
GACGAACGCUGGCGGCGUGCCUAACACAUGCAAGUCGAACGAAAAGUUCCUGUCUUUGUGCGCUGCUCGGGUGGCGAACGGGUGAGCAAUACGUGAGUACCCUGUACCUGCUUUAGGCGUAACCUAAUGCCACUGGGUCACAUAACGGAUAAGAGUUACCGCUGCAUGGUGGGGGCUGGUAAGUUUCGGCGGUUGGUGAUGGAAUCGCGGCCUAUCAGCUUGAUGGUGGGGUAGUGUCUUACCAAGGUCAUGAAGGGUAGCUGGCCUGCGAGGGUCACCGGACACAUUGGGACGGAGAUACGGCCCAGACUCCUACGGGAGGCAGCAGUGGAGAAUAGAGCACUAUGGGCGGAAGCCUGGUGUAGCAACGCCGCGUGCGGGAUGACGGCCAGCGGUUUGUAUUCCGCUUUCGCCUGAGACGAAGCGUGAGUGACGGUAAUGGGUAAAGAAGCACCGGCUAACUACGUG